rnacentral:rRNA from 1 species
AACCGACUAAUGUUGAAAAAUUAGCGGAUGACCUGUGGCUGGGGGUGAAAGGCCAAUCAAACCGGGAGAUAGCUGGUUCUCCCCGAAAGCUAUUUAGGUAGCGCCUCGUGAAUUCAUCUCCGGGGGUAGAGCACUGUUUCGGCUAGGGGGCCAUCCCGGCUUACCAACCCGAUGCAAACUGCGAAUACCGGAGAAUGUUAUCACGGGAGACACACGGCGGGUGCUAACGUCCGUCGUGAAGAGGGAAACAACCCAGACCGCCAGCUAAGGUCCCAAAGUCAUGGUUAAGUGGGAAACGAUGUGGGAAGGCCCAGACAGCCAGGAUGUUGGCUUAGAAGCAGCCAUCAUUUAAAGAAAGCGUAAUAGCUCACUGGUCGAGUCGGCCUGCGCGGAAGAUGUAACGGGGCUAAACCAUGCACCGAAGCUGCGGCAGCGACACUAUGUGUUGUUGGGUAGGGGAGCGUUCUGUAAGCCUGUGAAGGUGUGUCGUGAGGCAUGCUGGAGGUAUCAGAAGUGCGAAUGCUGACAUAAGUAACGAUAAAGCGGGUGAAAAGCCCGCUCGCCGGAAGACCAAGGGUUCCUGUCCAACGUUAAUCGGGGCAGGGUGAGUCGACCCCUAAGGCGAGGCCGAAAGGCGUAGUCGAUGGGAAACGGGUUAAUAUUCCCGUACUUGGUGUUACUGCGAAGGGGGGACGGAGAAGGCUAUGUUGGCCGGGCGACGGUUGUCCCGGUUUAAGCGUGUAGGUGUGUGUUCCAGGUAAAUCCGGUUCACUUUAACACUGAGGCGUGACGACGAGGCACUACGGUGCUGAAGCAACAAAUGCCCUGCUUCCAGGAAAAGCCUCUAAGCAUCAGGUAACAUCAAAUCGUACCCCAAACCGACACAGGUGGUCAGGUAGAGAAUACCAAGGCGCUUGAGAGAACUCGGGUGAAGGAACUAGGCAAAAUGGUGCCGUAACUUCGGGAGAAGGCACGCUGACAC